rnacentral:rRNA from 1 species
UACAGAGGGGGCAAGCGUUGUUCGGAAUUACUGGGCGUAAAGGGCGCGUAGGCGGCCUGUUAAGUCGAACGUGAAAUCCCUGGGCUCAACCCAGGAACUGCGUCCGAUACUGGCAGGCUUGAAUCCGGGAGAGGGAUGUGGAAUUCCAGGUGUAGCGGUGAAAUGCGUAGAUAUCUGGAGGAACACCGGUGGCGAAGGCGGCGUCCUGGACCAACACUGACACUGAUGAGCGAAAGCCAGGGGAGCAAACGGG